rnacentral:rRNA from 1 species
AGCAGCCGCGGUAAUUCCAGCUCCAAUAGCGUAUAUUAAAGUUGUUGCAGUUAAAAAGCUCGUAGUUGAAUUUCGGGAUUAGUGCGCUGGUCAUGCCUUUGGUAUGUACUGGGGUUACUGAUUUCUACCUUCUGAAGAACCGUUAUGUCAUUCAUUUGGUGUGGCGGGGAAUCAGGACUGUUACUUUGAAAAAAUUAGAGUGUUUAAAGCAGGCUCGCGCUUGAAUACAUUAGCAUGGAAUAAUGAAAUAGGACGUUUGACCCUAUUUUGUUGGUUUCUAGGAUCGACGUAAUGAUUAAUAGGGAUAGUUGGGGGCAUUAGUAUUCAAUUGUCAGAGGUGAAAUUCUUGGAUUUAUUGAAGACUAACUACUGCGAAAGCAUUUGCCAAGGAUGUUUUCAUUAAUCAAGAACGAAAGUUAGGGGAUCGAAGACGAUCAGAUACCGUCGUAGUCUUAACCAUAAACUAUGCCGACUAGGGAUCGGAUGAUGUUAUUUUAAUGACUCAUUCGGCGCCUUACGG